rnacentral:rRNA from 1 species
CACGUAGAAGACUAGUGUUAUUCAUCUUUAUUAGGUUUAAAGGGUACCUAGACGGGAAAUCAAGCCCAUAACUGGGGACUAAUUUUCUAGAGUUUUAUGAGAGAAGGGGCGAAUUUCCCGGAGGAAAGUUGAUAUUUUGUGAUACUGGAAGGACGGUAACGGCGAAGGCAACCUUUAUGUAAACUGACGUUGAGGGACGAAGCCUUGGUAACGAGAAGG